rnacentral:tRNA from 1 species
GCGGGUGUAGCUCAGUUGGUUAGAGCGCCAGGUUGUGGUCUUGGAUGUCGUCGGUUCGAACCCGAUCACUCGCC